rnacentral:lncRNA from 1 species
AAUAAUAACAGCACACCAUUACCAUUUAAAAAUAAAAAAAAAACAACUACCACAUCACCAUCAUCAUUUCAUAACUACUCUUCCAUAGACAAUCAUACAAUAAUCUGUAAUCAAGGUACUAACUCAAAAUGCGCAUUAUCACAUAGGUAUUUGCAGUUUAUCUGUCAUUAAUGGUGUUUGUGACAAGCAUCAAUAGUAGUACCACAAAGCAGCAUGAUAAAAAACAUUUAGAACAUGUUAGUACCCGCAUUAAUCCCCUGGCAACCAUCCAAAACACCAUAGAAACUAAAUAGAAACAUACCAAAAGCCAUUCUGAAAACCUUAGCAGCUGCACUGAAAAAUUUCCACAACCUAGAAGACCAUAGCAACUAUAAGCAAUUUAUGCUAAAAACCACUUAAAACACUUUUGCAGCUGCAUAGCAACAGUUUGGCAACUCAAAACACCAUAGCAACUACAUGCAAUAUUAUGCUAAAAACCACUUAGAACACACUUGCAACUGCAUAGCAACACCUUAGCAACCCAGAAGACCCUAGCAACUGCAGAGCAAUGCCUUGGCAAACCAAAACAACAGCAACAUGCUAUACACCAUUCAGAACACCUUAUCAACUGCAUAGCAACACGAGGGCAUCCCAGAGCACCAUAGCAACUUACCUUAACGACCACAAAAAAACAUUCUGGUGACCAAUAACUUGCGUAGUAUUGCGGCUGCAACUUUCGCAUGGGCAUUUCACUGCUUUGGUGCUUUGCAAAAUAAAAGCCUUAUAAGUAAAGAUUUUCAAGGAGACACGAUUUCACCAAGGCUUGCAAAUGGCACUGAAGGCCAAGAUCAUGGUCUGAAUGGCAAAUCGAGUCGUGCACCAAGUGCGAGCAGUGGUGAGUUCAGCGUGAGCCAGGAGAACGAGGCCUGGUCCAGUGAUAGCAGCCCCCUUCCAGAUCCAUUCUCGUCCAGUCAGCAACGAUUCAGUGACUCCCCUUCCCCAGCCCCACCCAACCACGAGGAGCUCAGGCAGGGCUACUGCUGCUCAAGGAACGGGGUACAGAGAACCAGCAGUGGGAGAUCCGCUAGAGACCGUUCAGCCCAAAAGCUGGACAAAGCAACCAUUGGACUGUAUAAAACUCAGAGCGUGCAAAGUACAGAGUCUGAUCCUAAACCUGCUCUUGAGCCGGAAGGGAAGUCCUCCUCCAUAUCAGGGUGCUUGAACUGCUUUGCCACGCCAGUGCGAAGCCCUAAAACAGGCCAGGCUCUGUGCACUCUGCCCCGCGCCAGCUGUGUCAUCUCAACAUCAGAGGGCCACAGUCGGCGUGCCAGUAUCCAUAGCACUCUGUCAGUGAAGCCAGUGGGAACGGUGUCAAGUAAGAACGGUGCUGAACCUCAACCUGACCCCAGUGAUGAGGUUUUAAAAGAAAGCCCUGUGUUGAAAGAGAAAGACCACAAACCAGAACUCCUUUUUGAUUCAGCAUUCACCAUCGAUUCGGUCUUUACAAACACAAUUUUCAGUGAGUGAAGUUGAAUUGAUACCAGUUAGAAAAGGUUCUAUGUAAACGCCUUUACUGAAAUCAUUUAUACUGGAAUCAUAUAAAUACAAACAUCUUAUUCUGACCAUGAUAAUGCCAUCUCUGAGGUGAAUUCAAGCAUAUUCAGUCAGAAAGCCAAUAAACAAUCCUUGUCCUUGAACAAUCCUCAUCUAAGGUCCUUAAUUUGUCUUGGAUGGCACACAUAUAUUUUUCCCUUAUCACUCCUUGUUUUGUCUCCUAAAUUUUUUAAGUAUUUUGUUUGCAUUUUUGCUAUGUGGUAACUGAUCCCUCAUUUUUUUGUCUUCUUCAAAUUACUUGCAUGAAGGUUAAAUCUAAAAAAGAAAAUUAUAUGUCCCUCCUCUGAGCAUGUAGCAUCAAAACUGUUGUGGUUCAUUUGUUCUGACUACUGUAUAUUACAGCCAUUUCCCCUUUUUGCAGUAUAGAAGAGCAGUGCUAUUUAUUUUUUAGCUGAAAUGCACCCUUUGUUUGUUAAAAACAAAAAAAAAUUUGUUUGCUGUGCUGGUUUGUGCUCAUGCUUCCUACAUUCGUAAGCAGCUUUGAAAUAUUAAAAAGACUAUGAUUUUUGAUUAAUAAUAAUAAGCUUCACUAUAAUGAGACAAAGUUGUUUUUGAUGACUUUGGUGGCUCAGUAAGUAAAAA